UUGACCUCGGAUCAGGUAGGGAUACCCGCUGAACUUAAGCAUAUCAAUAAGCGGAGGAAAAGAAACCAACCGGGAUUGCCNC
rnacentral:rRNA from 1 species